AAAAAAAAAAAAAAUUUUAGAAAAGGGUAAUUUUAUAAUUGUUAUGUAUAGGUAUACUUUUCUCCCACAUGUCUCCAAAGGAAAAUAAAGGUUAUUUUCCAUCCUCCCUUUAUUAUAUCUUUUUUUCAAACAAAGGAAAAUGUCAAUCAUUCUUUAUUUUUCUCAGCUUAUUUUUCUUCCCCUCUACUUUCCACACAUCCAAACAAGGGCUAAAACCAGUCAUACUUCAUCACAUAUAACACUGUCAGAUCACAUGGGGAACUUGUUUUCUUGCUUCCAUUAGCCAUUUAUUCUAGUUUUGAUAAGUUAGGGGAUAUGUGGUAUUAAUGAAUUCAUGGUCUUGCACAUAGGGUGAUUGAUUUUAUGGAUAUUACAAUUUUACAGGUUGCUUGUGGGAAACGAGCUGG
rnacentral:misc_RNA from 1 species